GUUCUUAUCAACCAACACUUUUAAUUGCAAAAAGUAAAAACCUUCAUUACAAUAAACUUUAAUUUACAUACAUUCUUCACAUGGUGGAAGUCUUUACCAGUUUGUAGUAUCCUGCACUUGAACACAUACUAAAAGCUCAAGCCAUUCAGAGCCGCUGUGGCUGUGACAGCUGCCUGCCUCCCUCUGCUCCCUGGGACCAUCCAGGGCCACCACACCCUGCUCCCGGAAGGAGAGCUGCAGCUGACCCUGGCACCUGUCCCCGAUGAUGGCGGGAGCACUGCGCUGAGUCCCUGUCUUGCCUGUGACUCCUCCUUCCCCGACCCUCGGCAUUGGUUACUGACCCUUCCCCAGGGUGGAGGUGAAGGAAGGGAAGACUGCAGCCAACAUUUUUCUGAGGGUAAAACUGUGGAAAGAAGUAUGGAGGGAAGCCUGUCUGGAUAAGAUGGGGCUUUCUGGGAAUGUCAUGUGUCUGCUGGCUCCUGUCACCUCCCUGGAAGGGUCCACAGUGCUGGGGGGUUGCAGUGUGAAGAAUGGGAUGCUACUGUGAGUAAGGGUGGCUGCACAGGUGAGCCCCCUGCCCCAAGGAGCUGCUGUGGGGAGCGAUGGUGUCAAUGAAGCCUGGCACAGAGAAGAUGUCCCAACUCCCCAGUUUCUGUCUGAAACUCAGACCUCGGCUGGGUUCCUUUCUCCACACAGUGCUUGCCGCCAUGGCUCAUUCUUGGAUUGAUGGCUGCUGCCUGCCUGACAGACACACUAGUCUGAAAAAGUCUGGACAUUUCGCAGUCUCCAGGGAGAGGAAUAUGACAGAUGUAUUUGGCACUAAUGCUUAAAUUAUGCAGGGCAGGGAAACCAGAGACACUGAGGGACCUGGACAACAGACAAGCUGGCUGAGGGUUUCUCUUCAAGGCCAGCAUUUAGUCACACUGCGUCCACGGUGGGUGGACUUGGAUGUGGUGCACGAGAAGGAGAGCACCUGUCCGUCUCCCUGACAUGCUUCUGGAAGAGGCUGCUGGGGAUGUGGAGACUGGGGGUGGGGAGGACAGGGAAAUGCCUGCUGCUGGUGACACAAACACAUUCCCGGAGGCUUCCGUGUUUCAUUUGCUACAGAGCUGUCUCCACAAGCGCCUUCACUCUCCUAGCUUCCUGACCCUGCCAUGCAUCGGUUCUGUACACAACAUCUGCAGGUCCAAAUACAGAGAGAAUUUCAGCCUAAAGUACAACUUUAAAGCAUAUCUCUGACACUCCCUUCCUUCAACAAAUUGUAGUGGGUGAUGGGUCACCACUGAAAGGUAAUGAGUGUGGAACUUGUAUACUCAAGAGAGCUUUUCCUUCAUUGUCAGGAGAGCUCAAAAUCCUAAGAGGCCCUUCUGUUUAUAACUGAUUCUCGAAAGGUAGACAAAAUUGCCUCUCUCUGUGCAAACAGACAUCUUGCACAAAGCCGGCCUCCAGAUGAUCCCUCUGACUUAAAACCUCUUAAAUCAUAACUGCUUAACAACAUGACUUUCAUACGUACACAAGUUUUGUUGUUCCUGUAUUCAUCCACACAAGGGGUUGAUUAAGAAAAAAUUCCCUCAGGUACAGUUCAUCGGAGUUUCACUGAAGCCCGUGGAGGAGGCUCUGAUGUUUCUAUCCUGAGCUCUGUGAACUCUGCUUGUCCUUUGCAAGCCCAUAGACAAACAGGCCAUUCAAGUGCUCAAUGGUCCCCACUGCUGUUCAUGAGACCCACAGAGAAAGAGGGCCUGAGAGAUGAGAUGCAGGCUCCUCCAGGAAUGAAGAGGGCUUCACAACCAUCUUCACUCGUCAUUGUCUGCCUCUGAUCCAUAAUUCUGACAUAGACACCUACUGCAUCCUUUGAUUUCUGCAAUUCAGAACCAGAGGCCAAAGUGUAGUUUGCUUUUUCUUCAUCUUGGCAAUGGCAUGACCAGUGGCCAGCUAUCUAGUGGUGUCAAUAAAAGAAUAAUAAAGAGAGAAAAAAAUAAAAGGAACAGGAAAAGAACAUCCUUAUUUACACCAUUUGAUUGCUACCUACUAAAAGCACUUAGGAGAAAACAAUGCACAUAGUGAAUCAUCCAAUCAGAAACACACAGCUUUAUAUUAUUACAAAAAAGAAAAACACCUCACCUUGUCUUUGUUUCGCAGCACAGACAG
rnacentral:lncRNA from 1 species